rnacentral:misc_RNA from 1 species
AACGCACAUUGCGCUCCCUGGUAUUCCGGGGAGCAUGCCCGUUUCAGAAUCAUUAAAAUCUCACAAGCCCUGGUUUACGCUCGCGGAAACCGGGGGGAAGUGGAUGUGGGUGCACUUGCAAGCCUGGCUUGCGAUGCAUCUAUAAAUGAUUGUGACGUGCGCCAAUUGUCGUCGUGUCAACUGGUCGUCCGAAGCGCAACAGAUUCAUCUAUUCGUUUUGGUCAUCAGCUGGCUGACUUUGGAGGCAUGGGACUCAACUUGUCAACCGGGGCCCUGCAGUUUGCAGAGCUCGCUGAUAACUUGGUCUGAAAUCGGGCAAGAAAACCCGCUGAACUUAA